rnacentral:rRNA from 1 species
UACGGAGGGUGCAAGCGUUAUCCGGAUUCAAUGGGUUUAAAGGGUGCGUAGGUGGGCAGGUAAGUCAGUGGUGAAAUCUCCGAGCUUAACUCGGAAACUGCCGUUGAUACUAUUUGUCUUGAAUAUUGUGGAGGUAAGCGGAAUAUGUCAUGUAGCGGUGAAAUGCUUAGAUAUGACAUAGAACACCAAUUGCGAAGGCAGCUUACUACACAACGAUUGACGCUGAGGCACGAAAGCGUGGGGAUCAAACAGG